rnacentral:rRNA from 1 species
GACAGAGGGUGCAAACGUUUGUUCGGAAUUACUGGGCGUAAAGCGCGUGUAGGCGGGAUCUUAAGUAGGAAGUGAAAGGUUGGAGCUUAACUCUAACACUGCUCCCUAUACUGGGAUUCUUGAGUGCCGGAGAGGAAGACGGAACGACACGUGUAGCGGUGAAAUGCGUUGAGAUGUGUCGGAACACCAAUGGCGAAAGCAGUCUUCUGGACGGAUACUGACGCUGAGAUACGAAAGCCAAGGUAGCAAACAGG